GCUGUGGAACCAGAUCAGGGCAUUGGGAGGGAACUCCCCAGAACAGCCCAGGAGGAGAGGAGAAAGUGGAUCCUUCCAUUGGGGAAACUGGAACGCUUGCCUAGGCAGAAUGACUUUAAUAACACAAGGGUCCAGUGUGCUUUGAAGAUGUCGCUGUUCGUUUCACGG